GACGAACGCUGGCGGCGUGCCUAAUAAAUGCAAGUAGAACGCUGAAGGAGGAGCUUGCUUCUCUGGAUGAGUUGCGAAAGGGUGAGUAACGCGUAGGUAACCUGCCUGGUAGCGGGGGAUAACUAUUGGAAACGAUAGCUAAUACCGCAUAAGAGAAGAUGUUGCAUGACAUUUUCUUAAAAGGUGCAAUUGCAUCGCUACCAGAUGGACCUGCGUUGUAUUAGCUAGUUGGUGGGGUAAAGGCUUACCUAGGCGACGAUACAUAGCCGACCUGAGAGGGUGAUCGGCCACACUGGGACUGAGACACGGCCCAGACUCCUACGGGAGGCAGCAGUAGGGAAUCUUCGGCAAUGGACGGAAGUCUGACCGAGCAACGCCGCGUGAGUGAAGAAGGUUUUCGGAUCGUAAAGCUCUGUUGUAAGAGAAGAACGAGUGUGAGAGUGGAAAGUUCACACUGUGACGGUAUCUUACCAGAAAGGGACGGCUAACUACGUG
rnacentral:rRNA from 1 species